rnacentral:rRNA from 1 species
AGGUUUCGUUCAUCGUUAGUUUCACAUCAUAUAUCAUAACGGUGAUGUUGGUCGGAGGAGGUAUAUAUCAUCGUGAGGUCAAGUUCACAUCCACACACGCAAACAUCUUAUAAACACGUCGUUGUGGAUCGAUCGACUAGCACCAACUAGGAGCCUCUUCAUCGAUCAGGCAUCAAAACCCGAUUGUCAUAAUGUAGGGCAUGGUUGUAUUACAACCGGCCCACGUAAGAUAAUGCCGAUAUAUAUUUGGCACUCUUAGGAUCAUUAGUCAGGGACAAGAAAGCAGGCCAGUUAGCUUCAGUGCAACCGAUGGGUAAAUGAUGAGGGCUCACUCAUCCUCCGUGCAAGCGAUGAGUCACGACAAGUCGGGAAAAAUGUGUUAUAUAAAAAUAAUAAGAGUACAUGAGGCAUGAUAAUUUUUAUGAAUUUAUGACAAUCAGACGUCAGUUCGUUCGCCUCUGAGCUAGACAUGUGCUUUCAAACCCCACCGCACAAGCCACACUCUGGUCAGUUGUUUCUAAUUCCCAUCGAUGUCGAAUCAUAUAUAGGUGUACGAGACCGUAACUAGACAAGUAACAUAGCGUCCUGUGUCGUAAGUAAGUGAUAUUCGAUCGACGUGAAUCGUAUAUAUACUACGAUUGGAACCGCGGGUUCUAACCCUACGGCCUGACGCUGUGUUCGACGCCGUUGCAUUCACACGGCAUGGGGAACCCGGAACCCGGCCUGGCGACGAUGGCCGGUCCGAAGUUGGAGUGGACGCUAGCUGAUGCCGUGCCGUGCCGACGACGAACUGUCGGUGCCCCGGAAGGUUCAGGAGCUGUAGAGGGAGGUCCUGUGGUGUGACGCGCAUUGGUCGAGGCAAAGACAGUAGGUUGAGGUUCGGUGGAGGUCUCUAGAAGAGAGGAAGGCAAAAUCACUAAUAAAGUGGUUGGCGCCCCUGCACAAGAUGAGUAACAGUCGGGCGUUGCUCGAGUAGGAGUAUCCCACAUUGCAGGGUCCCGGCCGAAACCUGGUCACGCUCUCCACGCUGCCGGGCCCUGGGUCUGAUUUUCCCCCGGGUAUCAUAUAUACGUCAUAUAUAUAAUAUAUCAUGCCUAAUCACCCCUUUUUUUCUUACUGAUUGCAGGUCGGGUCCAUCGAGACUCGGGUGGGUCGUUCGUCGUGCGUUGGUGGUGAUCCCGGACGGGUUGGUUCGGGUACGUUGUGUGCAACGGGACAGCAAGCGGACCUUAGGUCCCUCUGCGUGGCUGUGUCCUCGUGCCUCUGCGUAGCUGUGUCGUCGUGCGGCGGACUGCGGCUGUGGUCGCGUGGCGUGGCUUGGACCUCGACUCAAACCCCUAGUUUAGCCGUUCUUAAGCCCCUUCUCUAGUUGACUAGUUCUAGUAGUAAGUCUUCGUAUUAGUACAAUGGAUUUUUUGUAGAUAGACCGACACUCUUUUCUUUGUUGUUCUUUUCUCAUCUGUUCAACUAAUUUAGAGUCCUUCCGCGAUACCUAUACAAACAGAACUCCGGACCACGACGAUGUUUAAGUCUCGUUAAUAUAUAGUGUUUACCACUUCUUUUUGGACUACUAUGAUUCUUACGGUAACUCCUUUUAGUACAGCUAUUUUUAUUACGACGCCUUUUACUACGGCUAGUCGUGUGCCUUUUAAAAUCACUGGUACUCUUAGAACCUUUACGUCUACUCGUCCCAAGAAGAAAACUAUAUAUACUAGGAUCUUGAACCUUAUAAGAACUGUUAUUUAGUUCUCUAUAAGAGUAACUUUUUCCUGGAUAUUCCCUUAUGUUAGAACACAAAGGGCUUCUACUUUAAUCACCGUCCGUAAAAAGUAUACUAAUGAUGUGUUCUUUCAAUUCCUUACCGCUCAAGUCACUAGCCUCCACCAAUCACAUGAGAUUUGUACACUUAUUUCAGAUGACGAAAACAACGUUUAACAAAUUUAUACCUUUUUCGUUUUCAGACGAUCGUAGGCUCCCUAACUUCCUAACCUCUGUAGAAUCACUCUUCGAGUUUAACGUACUCUUAUCACAACUCGUAUAGUGAUUGUACUUAUGAACCUUACUCCAUUCCGACUCCGAUUCAUUCUUCCUUUGUUAACUAUUUCUGUACGUUGUUCUCUAACGUUCCCUCUUCCUCGCUACCUCUGAACAAAAUUAAUCUUAACAACGACGACACUUUAAAGAACGAUUUGUAUCAGACCGAAAAACUCCUAGCUUACUCUUUAAUAUAGUUCUAUUGUUGCCUUUAAAAAACCCUCAUUAACUUUACUACCGUCUUAAACUAGGACAUUACGUUCUCGUAGAAGCCGCGUAAUUCUUAUCACUUUAGGUAGUAGUAAUAGAACCGGUAUUAUAAGUCUUACUCAAUUAAAGGGAAGAACCAGCGUGACAAUUUAUAAGAGAUAACUCCUAUUAAUUCCUACGUUCCAUAAAGAGACAGUAGAACCUGACAUGUGGACUGCACUCGGUAGUUCUUGUUUACUGAGAUUAACACUCUACGCAUUUGUACAGUUCAUGAUGAUGUUUUUAUCUCCUCAAAAAAGACCUCAAGAACUUCCACCUACUAUGUAGGCCUGAACCUGAAAUAUUACACAAUUAUCUAAGUGAAUUUAGACAACCAAGCCUACAAUUUCUACAAGCACCUGUUCCCAUACUGUUACCAAGCUUGUACUUCCCUUUUGUGAUUCCCCAUGUCUCGUCUGAUGAACUUUGAUUAGGUUCUCGUAAUAAGUACGGUACGCGAACAGUAUCGGACUUGGAAUGAGAAUCACUAUACCGUUUUAGAACGCCAUUUCGACAAUGGAAGAAACCUCAACACGUUUCUUAAAUAUAUAACAAAAGUUCGAGAUGAUUUUCUACCGUCGAUAACGAACUAGUACAAGGUUUUUACUGUCAAUUCAGAAACACAUUGUGAGCUACCCUCUCAGCUUAUUUCUCACAAGUCCGAUAGUCUAUAGUUCGUGGGCUCAAUUCUUUUUGUAAUGACCUUAACUUCUGUUGAAGAUGGCUACUGCGGUUCUGAUUCUCCCUGCGUUUUAGAAACCGAUCGCGUGAACUCUUUAAACUUAAAAAUGAACCGUACCAGUAAACCGUACUGUAAAACAAGUGACAUUUGUACCACUCAUUCUUCAACGUCAGAUUCAAACACACGUAACUACAAUGAGAAUUUGUCUAACUUCCACGGUAGAGUAUAAAAUUCUUCAUGUCUUUACUGCCGAAACGUUGAUCAGACCUAUAACGCUCUAGAUAACGUUAACUGUACCCACAUGUUGGAAACAAAGGACAGUUCUCUGCAUAAUGAUCUUUUUCUGUCAUACUACUUUAAUCACCGUUACUGCUUUUAUUGGUCUUACUUCUUUGCGUUCGUUCACUCCACCUUAGUAAAUCUCAAUUUAUGAAAAACCACUACUAACUACAACGUUAACGAAGGGAUUGAUGAUCUAAACUCCUUGACUUCUGUAAACCCUCGUAUAAACCAAAGAACAAGUUGAGCUUUCUCAACUUCAGGAACCCAAUAUUACUAGAUUCUUCUACAACGUGAUUAAAACAGUUGUUUAAGUGAGUACCAUUCAGUCGU